AGUAGUGACGGUAGCCGCGGCGAUAUUGUUAUGUGGUCAAUUCGGCAGUUCCAAAGAUUUCGAUGCGAAGUUUCGCUCGAGAAUUUCCUAUUUUGGAGAUGAUAUUGCAGAUGGCGAUGAAUUUGAUUAUAUCGUGGUGGGCGCGGGCGCUGCUGGCAGUGCGGUCGCCGCACGUCUUGCACUCGCCGGCAAGCACGUGUUAUUGGUGGAGGCGGGCGGUGAUCCAAAUAUAUUGACUAAGAUACCAACAGCGUCAUUGGCAUUGGGUAAUUCUUUUCUUGACUGGUCAUAUGACACA